CAAUAGCGUAUAUUUAAGUUGUUGCAGUUAAAAGCUCGUAGUUGGAUUUCGGUUGAGAACGGCCGGUCCGCCGUUUGGUGUGCACUGGCUGGUCUCAACUUCCUGUAGAGGACGCGCUCUGGGUUAACGCUCGGACGCGGAGUCUACGUGGUUACUUUGAAAAAUUAGAGUGUUCAAAGCAGGCGUCGGCUUGAAUACAUUAGCAUGGAAUAAUGGAAUAGGACUUUGGUUCUAUUUUGUUGGUUUCUAGGACCGAAGUAAUGAUUAAUAGGGACAGUUGGGGGCAUUAGUAUUUAAUUGUCAGAGGUGAAAUUCUUGGAUUUAUGAAAGACUAACUACUGCGAAAGCAUUUGCCAAGGAUGUUUUCAUUAAUCAAGAACGAAAGUUAGGGGAUCGAAGACGAUUAGAUACCA
rnacentral:rRNA from 1 species